UACGAAGGGGGCUAGCGUUGCUCGGAAUCACUGGGCGUAAAGGGUGCGUAGGCGGGUCUUUAAGUCAGGGGUGAAAUCCUGGAGCUCAACUCCAGAACUGCCUUUGAUACUGAAGAUCUUGAGUGCGGGAGAGGUGAGUGGAACUGCGAGUGUAGAGGUGAAAUUCGUAGAUAUUCGCAAGAACACCAGUGACGAAGGCGGCUCACUGGCCCGAUACUGACGCUGAGGCACGAAAGCGUGGGGAGCAACAGGGAUUAAGAAACCCGUUGUACGUCCGAA
rnacentral:rRNA from 1 species